AGAAGAGGAAAUGAUUUACAGAUGAACCUCAGACAUGGACAUGUAUAUUUUGUUAUUCUGUUAUGGAUGGUUAUAGAUAAUGUCUGCCUGCUUAGCCCCGCCCCCUCAGCUCUCUGGAAUUAUCCAUGGACCCACUUCCUUAGUUCACCGUUGUUAUCCAUGGCCCCAACCCUUUCUUUCUCUACACUCAACCAUAUCUCUGUAGAUGUCUACUUGGUCCCGCCCUCUCAACUUUACGAGUCAUGCACUAGGCCCCGCCCCCAGUGCCCUGGAAUCAAGCAAAUCGCCCACUCAGCUUUCUUGUGCAAUCUGCUUGCUGCAGCGUCCUUUACCUAUCUGAAUUGAUCUACUAUGCCCCACCCUCUUCAGCCCUCUGAAGUUGUUCACUUGGCCCCAGCUACUCAUCUGUUGAGUUGUUUUGUGACCGCGCCCCCUCAGCUCCCUACAGUCAUCCACAUCGACCGUGAGAAGAUGAUUAUUUAAUGUUUAUGGAAGGAGUCUCCAGUGUCCGAGAGAAUAAAGAGUGAGGGAACAUCUGUUUAUACAGUAGCUGCUAUCACAUUUGCAGUUCAGCUGUCAGUCAUGUUGCUCCGCCCCCAGGAGACAGCACUGAAGUGAGAAGGUGUUGAUAUUGACAUGGAGCCGUGCAGCAGCGUUACGCUCUGGAGUUACUGUUUAACUAAUGACCAUAUGGCUUUGUGUAAACAUUCUCCCAUUUGAACAAUGGAGAUGUGGGGGAGAAGUGCUUUUCAAGUUUCUACUUUGAUGGACACAAAAGAAUAACACCGAUCAGCCAUAACAUUAAAACCAC
ensembl:lncRNA